GGCUUUUCAGGGGGAUUUGGGGUUCCCGGGGGAGAUUUGGGGAUCCGGGGGGUUCCCAGGCCCCCCCCUCCCGUUUUUGGGGGUCUCCCAUGGUGCCCCCUCCCCACAGAGCUCCGAGGGCCCCUGAGGUGGCUCCUGUUCCACCGGCCGGUGCCCCUGACCCAGGACGGCCCCAGAGAGUCUGGGGGGUUCUGAGGGGCAAUUUUGGGGGGCAUUUUUGGUAUUUGGGGGCAAUUUUGGGAGGGUUUUUGGGGAUUUUGGGAGGGCGUUUUUAGAGCUUUGGAGGGUUUUGAUGGAAGUUGAGGGGCUAUUAGUGGGGAUUCAGAGAGAAUUAUUGUGUUUCGGGGUUUAUGGGAUUUUGGGAGUUUUGUGGCUUUGGGGAGUUUUGGAUUUUGGGGGAUUUUAUUGGGGUUGGGGGUUGAUUUUUGAGGGGGUUUAGUGAAAUUUUGGGGAGUUUUUUUGAGUUUGGGUGGGUUUCACUUGGAUUUGGUGGGAUUCUCUGGGGUUUUGGAGGAUCUUAUUGUAAUUUCUUGAGGAAUGUGGGAUUUUUAGUGGAAUUUGUGGGGCAUUUGGGAGUCUGGGGCCUUUGGGUUGUCCCAGGGUUUGCAGAAGGGCUGAGAGGCAUUAAAAUCUCCUUAAAAGCCCCAAAAGUCCCAAUAAAACUCAUGAAAUCCGAAAUAAAUCUCGCAAAAUCCCAUUAGAACACCCUAGAAUCCCAAUAAAAGCCCACAAAAUCUUUUGAAAUCCCAAUAACACCCAAAAUCCUAAUGAAACCCCACAAAUCCGCCCCAAAAAAUGUCCCCUAAAAAAUCUUGCAAAAUCUCCCCCAAGACCCAAAGAAAUCAGAGCAACACCCAAAAAUCCCAACAAAACUUCUCUAAAUCCCACCAAAACUCCCAAAAAACCCCAAAUUGCCAAAAAACCCAAAUCCCAAAUACAUCCCACUAAAUGCCUCCAAAAUUCCAAUAAAUACCUCAAAAUCUCCUAAAAAUCCCAAUAAAACCCCCAGAAUUUAUGAGAAUUGCAAAAACCCCCAACAAAAUCCCAGUAAAACCUCCCAAAAUACAAAAAAAAAACCAACCAAAAUUUUCAAUAAACCCCCAAACACCCCCAGAAGAACACCCCCCCCAAAGCGCCAAUAAAACCCCCAAAAUCCAAACCCCCCAAAAUCCACAAACCCCCCAACAUCUCCCACCUUGUCCCAGCAUGUCUGCAGUCAUUCCCAGGCGCUGCCAGGGGCCCCAGGACGGUGUCAGUUCUCCCAGUGUGAUCCCCCAGUCAUGCCCAGAAUAUCCCAGCUGCCUCCAGCAUGCAUCCAGUCCUGCCCAGUUCCUCCAGUUUGCUUGCAGCGUGAUCCCAGUUUCUCUCAGGAUUUCCAUUGCCAACCCCCAUUGAGGCUGUGAGGAAAAUGCCCCAGAACAUGCAAACAGAGCAGGAGCUGAGCAUGGAGAGCAGGGAGGACAAAUCCCCGCGGCAGAACCUCGUGGCAGAGGCCGUUUUGAGCGGCUCCACGGCGCAGGAAGCCAACGGGGAGGAAAAGCCCCGGAGAUCCUGCACGAGGAGGGGCUGCAAACGCAGCCCAGGUUGCUCUGAGGAGUAAAGAUCCACCCUGUGCCAGGAAGGUGGACAGAGCUUCAGCCAGAGCUUGGAGCUGGUGGUCCAUGAGCAGGUUCCUGAUGGGGAGAAGCCUCACAGGUGCUUGGAG